ACACCCGUUCCCAUUCCGAACACGGAAGUUAAGCUCUUUAGCGCCGAUGGUAGUUGGGGGUUUCCCCCUGUGAGAGUAGGACGCCGCCAAGC
rnacentral:rRNA from 1 species